ensembl:lncRNA
GCGAUAUUGGUGCCAUAUCGGGAUAUUCAGUGCCUGUAUCGCGAUAUUCGGGGCCACUAUCGCGAUAUUGGUGCCACUAUCGCGACAUACAAUGCCCAUAUCACGAUAUUUGGGGCCACUAUCGCGAUAUUGGUGCCUCUAUCGCAACAUACAAUGAGCAGAUCACGACAUACAAUGCCCAUAUCACGAUAAUUGGGCCCAUAUCACGAUAAUUGGGCCCAUAUCACGACAUACAAUGCCCAUAUCACGAUAUUUGGGCCCAUAUAACGACAUAAAAUGCCCAUAUCAUGAUAUAUGGGCCCAUAUCACGACAUAAAGGCCCAUAUCGCGAUAUAAAGGGCCCAUAUCACGACAUAAAGGCCCAUAUCACGACAUAAAGUGCCCAUAUCACGACAUACAAUGCCCAUAUCACGGCAUACAAUGCCCGUAUCACGAUAAUUGGGCCCAUAUCACGACAUAAAAUGCCCAUAUCACGACAUACAAUGCCCAUAUCACGGCAUACAAUGCCCAUAUCACGACAUACAGCUCCCGUAUCGCGAUUUUAUUACCGCUAUCAACGUAUAUCGCGAUAUUUGGUGACCCUAUCAUGACGUACAGAGCCCGUAUUGCGAUAUCGGCCCCAAUAUCGCGACAUACAACACCCGUAUCGCGAUAUCCAGUGACCCUAUCGUGACAUACAGUCCUUUAUAUCACGACCCUCGGUACUGAGCCCCUCUCCACCCCAUAACCCCCUACCCUCCCCCCUAUAUCGUGACAUGAGCCCCCUAGAUCAUGAUAUGAGGCCUAUAUCACGACAUGAGCCCCCUAUAUCGCGACAUGAGCCCCCUAUAUCACAACAUGAGCCCCCUCUAUCGCGACAUGAGCCCCCUCUAUCGCGACAUGAGCCCCCUCUAUCGCGACAUGAGCCCCCUAUAUCACGACAUGAGCCCCCUAUAUCGCGACAUGAGCCCCUAUAUCGCAACAUGAGCCCCCUAUAUCGCGACAUGAGCCCCCUAUAUCACGACAUGAGCCCCCUAUAUCGCGACAUGAGCCCCCUAUAUCGCAACAUGAGCCCCCUAUAUCGCGACAUGAGCCCCUCUAUCGCGACAUACAGUCCUUUAUAUCACGACCCUCGGUACCGAGCCCCUCUGCACCCCAUAACCUCCCCCCUAUAUCGCGACAUGAGCCCCCUAUAUCAUGAUAUGAGGCCUAUAUCACGACAUGAGCCCCCUAUAUCGCAACAUGAGCCCCCUAUAUCGCGACAUGAGCCCCCUAUAUCGCGACAUGAGCCCCCUAUAUCGCGAUAUGAGCCCCCUAUAUCGCGACAUGAGCCCCCUAUAUCACGACAUGAGGCCUAUAUUGUGAUGAGCCCCCUCUAUCACGACAUGAGCCCCCUAUAUCGCGACAUGAGCCCCCUAUAUCGCAACAUGAGCCCCCUAUAUCGCAACAUGAGCCCCCUAUAUCGCAACAUGAGCCCCCUAUAUCACGACAUGAGCCCCUAUAUCGUGACAUACAGUCCUUUAUACCACGACCCUCGGUACCGAGUCCUUCUCCACCCCAUAACCCCCUACCCUCCCCCCUAUAUCGCGACAUGAGCCCCCUAUAUC